UUAUAUCCUCCUACCAUUUGAGCAAGCAGGGAAAUCCCGAGAUGUCUUUAGCGAGGCUACAGAAUUCCUUUUUAAAUCAUAGUCGCUCUCGCUCGUGAGUUCUCGUCAGCUGAUAAUACUAAUAAUUGAGCCAACGAGCCUUUAUAGGCAACUCGUGAUUCGUUCUCCUAUAAACGACCUUUAUUGUAUUGGAUUCACAAUCUCUAUAAAUAACGCUCACGACGUGGACCUGUCGCAGUGUAAGAAAGAAAGUCUUUCGAGAAGAUUAAUUAAUUGAGCCUCGAAAUAUUACAGCAAUCGAAAAAUAUCAAGAUGAAAGCUUUCAUGCUCGUCGUGUGUGUAUUGACCAUUGCCAGUAUGGUCUACACUGCUGACGUCGAAGAUACACCAAAAUUUUACAAAGACCUCCAAACAUGUACCACAGAAUUAAAUUUACCCGAAGAAAAUGGCGUCGAUCCCUUAGCGAUCAAGUGUAUGCUUGAAAAAAAUUCCUUGAUCGACGAACAAGGUGCGAUGAAAAAGGAUGAAAUUUAAAAAUAUUUCGGUAGUGUCAGCAGCGAGAGGGAGUUGAGCAAAAUUGCUUCGUGCAUUACUCAAGCAGAGAAUCGAACUAAUAAAAGCAACAAUGAGAAACUCCUCGCAGCCAUACAUUGCUCAUUGUUAAAGCUGGCAAUACUUGAAAAAAAAUUCUAAGCAAACGGGCCUGAACAGAAGAAGCUAUGUUAUAUCAUAUAAAUUAUCAUAGAAAAAGAAAUAUACCUAUAAAAA